AAUUUCCUGCGUCUUUCAUCCCUGCUUUAUUAUGUAAAUAUUCAAGGCUAUCUUUCUUUAGAAAUUAAAAGUUUGUUUCCUCCUCCUCCUCUACUUCUUCCAAUGCUGCAUCAACCAUCACCAUUAAUGGUGCAUGAAAUCUCUUGGACCAAACCAUGUCCGUUCCUUGUUAAGAGUCAUUUAUAUAAAAUCUUUUCUCUCCAUCUCUCAUCGUUGUUACUUUAAACAAGAGACCAUUUCAUGUUCCGUCUCUUUUGUAUUGUCCACAAUAAACUGCUGACCAUGACUGGAAAUGCUUGUCUCGUUAUGUUAGGUGUUAUUGUACAGGACAUUAACACUGACCAUUAUGGUACAGUCCCCAGUCAGGUUGACUACAGUGUGUCUCCUGCGUGGUAAGAAGUUUGCUUCUCAACCACGUGGUUCUGGAUUCUUCUAUAGCCUUGGGCCAACCAAAGCUGCGUGAGUGAAAGAAGCCAUCGUACAUAUAUCUGAGUGUUUGUUUGUCCUGUACCACUGCUUAACAACCAGUGUCGGUGUGUUUGCGUCCCCAUGACUCAGAGGUUCAGCAAAAGAGACCGAUAGAAUAAAUAUCAGGCUUAAAACAAAGUUAGUACUGGGGUUAAUUCAUUUGACUAAAAUUCCUGAAGGUAAUGCCCCAGCAUGACCGCAGUCCAAUGUCUGAAACAAGUAAAACAAAAGAUUCUGACCACUUCUUGUCCAGUCGACAGUAAACUUGACCUUUGUGGAAACGGUAUGGUCCAAAUUUGUUGGUGUUAUGUACAAGUUAUUAACACUGACCACCACAAUACAAGACAUUAACCCUAUUGGACGUAAAAUGUUGACCAUGGCAGAAAUGGCACUUCAUGUUAGAUGUUAGUUAUGUACUGGUUGUUAACACUGACCGCUACAGGACAGUCCACAUUGAAUUAGCAGAAUUUUAGACAAUAUCUUUCAUUGGCACCAUGUAAAAAAGGUGCCACAUCAGAAGAACCCAGUAGACUUGGUUCACUCUGUAAAGUGGUUGGCGUUAGGAAGGGCAUCCAGCUGUAGAAACCAUACUAAAAUGGACAAUUGGGGCCUGGUGCAGGUCUCUGGUUUGUCCAACCCAUGCCAGUAUGGAAAAUGGAUGUUAAAUGAUGAUGAUUCAGUCUACAUUCACUUUUUUUUCCAUGCUGGCAUGAGUUAAACAAAUGUAUGUUGAGACAUUAUUGCACAGCUGGAUGCCCUUCCAGUCAUUAAACCUUAGUUGUUUCUCAAGCAAGGGACGGUUUUAUGAUUCCACUUGUCUGCCAAAAUGCUGAGCUGCAGGAUAAUUCAUUUGCAAGGAAUGUCAAAAAGUUUCCUUUUUUUCACUCAAGAUUUUUUUGUGUGAAGUCACAAAAUGUGAACAUUUUCAAAGAUACACACACAACACACACAUACAUAUGCACCAUGUUAAGAGCACGCAGAAAACUCUGUAAGUGGCUGGCAUUAGGAAAGAUAUCCAGCUGGAGAAAGCAUACCAAAAUAGAUAAUUGGAGCCAACUGGCCAGCUCCUGUGAAACGAUCCAACCCAUGCCAGCAUGGAAAACAGGCACUAAAUGAUGAUGAUGACAAUGGGCUUCUAUGUAAUUUCCAAAUACUAAUUCUACAUACAAGACAUUGAUGGAACCAAGUUUACGAUAGAAGACAUUUGGCCAAAGUACCAUGCAGUGGGAUAGAUCUCAAAACCAUUUGGUAACAAACCAAUCUUUGUAUCCACACAACCACUUUGCAGUAUUUGUUGUGACUUUCUGCAUUCUGGGUUCAAAUUCUGCCAAGAUCAACAUUGUUAUUUAUUCUAUCAGGGGGUCGAUAGAAUAUAGUAACUAGUCCAGGAUAGUGGAUUGAUAGAGCGUCGGACUUGAUACUUUGUGGUGUCUAUUCCAGUUCUGUGUGUUUUAGGUUCAAAUUCUGCUUCCUGUCACCAGAGAGUCCAAGAAUAAGGAAGUGUAACAUUUGUGUCAGGACUUGUGACUGACGAAGAGUAUCAGGAAUGGAAAGAUCAGUUGCCAUGACUACCAUGGAAGAAACAAUCAUCACCAUCGUCAUCAUAUUAAUUUCAAAUUUUAGCACAAGGCCAGCAUUUGCUGGAAGGGUGCCAGUUGAUCACAUCACUCCCAGUGUUCAACAAGAGCUUGUUUAAUUGAACCCCAAAAGGAUGAAAGGUGAAGUCGACCUCAGUGGAAUUUGAACUAGGAACAUAAAGACUGACGAAAUGCUGCCGAGCAUUUUCUCUUGUCUGGCUAACGAUUCUGUCAGCUUGUUGCCGUCAUCAUAUUAAGGUUGAAAUUUAUUGAUGCAGAUUUUCUAUGGGCAGAUUCACUUCCUGUUGUUAACCCUCACCUUGUUUCCAGGUAAAAUAAUUCGGCAAAAGACACCAAUGGAAUAAGUUCUAUGCUUACAAAGAAUAAGUCUUGGGGUCGAUUUGUUCGACUAAAGGCGGUGCUCCAGCAUGGUCGCAGUCCAGUGACUGAAACAAGGAAAAGAGUAUAUAUAUAUAUAUAUAUGUGACGGACUUUUUCCAGUUCCCAUCUACCAAGUUAUUGAACCCAGGAUCACAUGCUUAUGAAGUAAUCUUCCUAACCACAGAACCACGUCUGUUAGAAAUAAGAAAAUCUUAUAAAAAGGAGAGAAAAAAAAAAAAGACUUUAAACCAUUAUAAGAACCUUCUUCAGAAAAGAGAUC